rnacentral:lncRNA from 1 species
UGACUACUGAAUCUUGGCCAGUGUUGAUGGUGAUGGAGGAGGAUUACUGUCCACCUUUUUGCACUAAUGAAGCACUAAAUGGAUCCUUUAUAGCUGUAUAAAGACUUGGUGGGCAGGGUUACUGUCUGGUCUGAUGAUCAGAUAAUCAUUAACAAGUGAUUGUCCUGCUGUUAGUGUUUAUGGGAAAAGAGCAGCAAUCAAUACUGCCAUCUUAAGAGGAAGAGGAAAAGGGAAACCUCCCAAAUGUCAACCCCUGCCACUCAUACAGAAGCAUUCUGUGACCAUAUUGCAACUGUUCAUUCUGUUUAAUCUUUGUUGGGCCAACUAAACCUUAUUUUGGGGGCAUACGUACUUUUUCGGCCAGCUGUUCAAAAUGAUUUGAAGAUGCUUGUUCUAAAACUCCUGUCUUGUAGCAGCAGAAAACCUAGCUGGUUAAAUGAUGAUGCAUUGUAAUAUCUGCUGCUUUCAAAUAGGCAAGAUGUCUUAUUUCCAGGCAGUGCCAGAUAACUGAGCUAUAUAUUCAUUCAUUCAUUUAUUCAUUCAUUUACCAAAUGUUUAUUGAGGGUAUUCUCAGUGCCAGCCCUGCAGUAGAAACUAGAGCUACAACAGAGAACUAGAGAGUUAUUCACUCCCCUCAUUAUGUUUAAAAUCAACUGGAAAGAAUAAAGCAAUAAAAAGGCAGUAAGCCAAUGAUUACCAACUGUGGAGGUAUAAGAAGAUAAUAAACAAGGAGCUAGUCUUAGAUAAGGUAUCCAGGAAAGCCCUGAGUAGAUUACAUUUUAAUUUCAGCAUGAAGGAAGAGGAAACAGCCACACAAGGUUUGGAGUGAAGGGUGCAGGGAGCCCUGGAGAGCAGACCAUGGAGACGUCCAGGCAGAGGAAAUAGCAUGUGCAUGCACCUAAUGCAGAAAAGAGCUUGGUGGAUUCAAGAGCUAAAAAAUAAGACCAGACACACCUAUAAAGACAGAAAACAGGCUGAACUGAUUUUGAGACUAUUCAAACUCUGCGGAGUGAUGUUCAUUUUAAGAGUGUCUACAUCAUCACCUUGACUCAUGGUUCUCAUCUGCACAAUUUCCUCAAGACCAAGAAAUGAAACCAGCCCAGAGCACAUUUUGAAUGAGAGCUGGAUCUAUGAAGGCCAGUCACGUCAGGGAGAAGGCCAGGGUAAGCACGAACCUUGUUUCUUUUUGCAGUGAACUAUUUCCUUUCAGUCCCAGUCUAUUUAAGGAGCCCCAGGAAUAGGUCAUAUCCUUCUCAGUGUAGCAUUGCUCAGCAGAAAUCCGGGAAUUAUUGACCAGUCCCAAAGGCUUCAAACUCUAGACUAGAGAGAUUCUUGACCUUUCUUUGGUCCAUGGAUGUAUUUGGCAGUCUGCCAAAGCCCAUAAACUCCUUCCUCCAUGUUUUUAAAAUGCUUCACAUAAAAUACAUGAGAUUACAAAUGAAAUAAGUCAUGUUGAAAGACAGUUAUUAAAAUUAUGAAAAAUACUCAGCCAUAAAAAAGAACAAAAUAAUGCCAUUUGCAGCAACAUGGAUGGAUCUGAGUGAAGUAGGUCAGAUGGAAAAAAACAAAAAUCAUAUGAUGUUGCUUAUAUGUGGAAUCUAAAAAAAGGGUACAAGUGAAUUUAUUUCCAAAACAGAAGUAGAGACAGAGAUGUAGAAAACAAAUUUAUGGUUACCAAGGGAUAAUGGGAUGGAGAGGGAUGAACUGGGAGAUUGGGAUUCACAUAUACACACUAAUACAUAUAUAAUAUAACUAAAAAGGACCUAUUGUACAGCACAGGGAACUCUAUUCAAUACUCUGUAAUGGGCUAUAUGGGAAAAGAAUCUAAAAGAAGAGUAGAGAGAUGUAUAUGUAUAACCGAUUAACAUCGCUGUACACCUGAAACUAACAUUGUAAAUCAACUAUACUCCAAUAAAAAUGUUAAAAAGUUAUGAAAAAUAAAUGUU